GUGCCAGCAGCCGCGGUAAUACCGGCAGCCCAAGUGAUGGCCGCUGUUAUUGGGCCUAAAGCGUCCGUAGCUGGGUCUGAAAGUCCAUCGGGAAAUCCACUCGCUCAACGAGUGGCCGUCCGGUGGAAACUCCACACCUUGGGACCGGAAGGCUCGAAGGGUACGGCCGGGGUAGGAGUGAAAUCCUGUAAUCCCGUCCGGACCACCGAUGGCGAAAGCACUUCGAGAAACCGGAUCCGACAGUGAGGGACGAAAGCUAAGAUCGCGAACCGGAUUAGAUACCCUAGUAGUCC
rnacentral:rRNA from 1 species